CUCCUGCAUCUGCCCCCUCCUGCACAUGUGAUAAGGAGGCUGCCCCUUCCCAAAGACAGAGCUAGCGUCCCUGCUGCUCUUGCCCAAGCCACAGCCGGGAACGGCGCAUUCUGCGGGCCAGCAGGAGAGGGACCGGCCAGGGUCUGUCCUCCGCCGCGGUCUGCACCCCAGCGAAGGGUGCAUGCGUUUCCUGGCCGUCCUGCUCUUAGGGGAAAGGGAGAGGACCCAUCUCUGACCACAGUGUCCUGGGAAGGAAGAUGGAUCCAUCAAGGCCACGGGGUGUCCCUGCUCACAGAACAGAUCUCUCCAGAGGCACAAAGGAUAAACAAGCAUAAACAAAACAGCCAGAAAAGCUCUGCAAAUGAGGAAAUGGCACUGAGGAAUGGGGAACCAGAGGACCAGAUCCUCAGCCUACUGUGGUGUCACCUAGGGACCAGCCAGUGGAGUGGGGGAGGAACAACAAAAGAAGACCCACAGACUGCCCACUGCACACCAGAUGACGUGACACCUCCGCCCUGCAGGGGGUAGGAGGGGGUGAUUGGAUAGUACUCACAGAGAAGGCUGGAGCUAUGCUUUGACCCCUACACCAAGAGAAAUUCAAAAUGGGAUCCAACCAUCACACGGUACCCAUAAAUAUGCACAAUUUUAUGCAUCUGCUAAGACUUUUAUUAAAAAUUAAAAAUUAUACAUCCAUCCAAGAUUUAAAUGUGAGAAAUGAAACUACAGAUGUCUAGGCGUAAAGUGUUCUAUAAUACUCGAAGUUCUUUCCACAUGAACCAAAGUGCAGAAGCUAUAAAAGACAUAAAUGUGACUGUGGAGAAGUAUAAAACAAUUUGUGGACAAAGCCAUUAUAGAAACAGGCAAAAGAUAAAUGGCAAACAAUAAAAGUACAUCAUAACUCAUGUCACCAAGGGCUGAGCUCCAACAUGGAAGAAACUCACAGAAAUGAGAAGACAACAUAAAACAGAACAAGAGACAAAGGCCGUUCACAAAAGGCCAAGGCAAAUGGCUCCCAACGCUAGAAAACAUGUGCCACCUCCCCAACCAGGAGUUAAAGGAAAUCACUGAAAUGCAGCUUUCUGUCCAGCAGACUCUUGAGGCUUCGGGAAACAGGCUCUUGAUACUUUGCUAAUGGGAGUACAAAUUGUUAAAAAGUUCCUUGCAGGGUGACUGUCAAUACCUGGUAAAAUCACAAACGACCAUCUCCUUUGUGCAGGACUGGACUGUGGGUACCUUGUUCCACAAAUACGCCAGGCACCUACAGAUACACGCCUCAUUCUUCAACACAGCAGAAGCUUGGAAAAACAGCUCCCAGUACUGUGCAACACCCAUGCAAGGGAGCACUAUGAAAAACAAGUAGGGGUGCCUCCAAACUGCUGUGGAGGAUGCCCAAGCUGUACUGCCAAGUGAACAACCCAGGUCUCAUUGGGUGUGGUGGCACAUGCCUGUAAUCCCAGCACUCGAGAGGCUGAGGCACAAGGAUCACCAUGAGUUCGAGCCAGCCUGGGCUAUACAAGUGAGUCCAAAGGCAGCCUGCACUACACAGUAAGACCCCGUCUCAAAAAACAAAAAACAAAAACAAGAAAAACUCAAAGUAGGCCCAGCACAGAAUGCACGGAGGGUGAUCAGAUGGGCAGGAAGAUGUGUGCCCCUCCCCACCAUGUGUGCAGACUCUCGGGGGACACUGGGAAGGACAGCAGGUAGGAGACAAGGAAAGCUGCAAGAAUCUUCCCUGGGAACUGACCUUUCAGAUUUUGAGGCCCACAAAAGUGCUACCGCAUAUUCGAACAUUAGAUUAAAAACAAAAACCAGCAAACUAGAAAAUGUUCAUUGUAAUUGGUGCCAAUCUAAGACUCAGACAUUAGGAUAGAGUGCCACGCAGCAGCAGGGCUUAUGUGAGGCACUGAGUAGACAGAUGGACAGACAGACAGGAAGGAUUAAAAAGCAGACACUGAACACUCCCUGGGACCAGCCCCCCCCCCCCCCAUCAGGCUUACACACUGCCCUUAAAACAGCGGUCCCCCGAGUGGGUUUUCUUCAGCCCACGGUGGCAGUAGUGGUGGUGGUGGGGGGGGGGGGGUACUUAAAAGUAUGAGGAACUCAGAAACAGCAACCAGCAACAAACUAAUCCUCCCUUCUAGUAGACAUACCUGGGGCAGGGUUCCAAGGCUCUGGGGCUCCUCGCUCCUGUCACCCAACAAGCUGUUCUACUGAAGGGGAUCCCCGAUAAAGGUUCAGCAGGUGACUUAGAACAGGUCAGACUUAAGGAAAGACAGCAAAUAAGUACCCAGAAACAAUUUACAGGGCAGCAGACCUGGACUGCAGAUAAGGCCCCUCCUUAUUCCAAACGCCUUGCUCCUGCCAUUAAAAAGCCCUUCACGUACUGUACUGCAAACCAACCUGGGUGGGUGGGGCAGAUGCUGGCAGCCCAGAACCCAGCCAGCCACCAGCCAAAGAUCCCAAGGGCAAGGCAGGAGAGUCAUCUGUCUACAGGUGCGGGCAGGAGUGGUCACCAGGGGAGCUGCAGACUUCUGGGAGAGGGUUUUCUCUUGGAUAAAAACAGAUAAGGAAGGAAAGAGGGAGGGCAGGAAGUGUGCAGGGUGGGGGAAGCAGGCCCAGGGUGGAAAAGCCUCUCUUUCCUAUCUCUGGCAGGCCGUGCAGGGCUGUGAUGCCUAGGGUGGCACCAGCCAUCAGCAGGGCCGGGGGGGGGGGGUCUGCUGGGAAUGGACAAGUCCGACUGCCCCUUGCCAUGAGUGAGCCCUCUGCUAACCUGACACUGCUCACACAUUCCCUGCUUAAGAAGUAACACUCUCUAGGGUCAUCUG
rnacentral:lncRNA from 1 species